rnacentral:rRNA from 1 species
UACGUAGGGUGCAAGCGUUGUCCGGAAUUAUUGGGCGUAAAGGGCUCGUAGGCGGUCUGUCGCGUCGGGAGUGAAAACUCAGGGCUUAACCCUGAGCCUGCUUCCGAUACGGGCAGACUAGAGGUAUGCAGGGGAGAAUGGAAUUCCUGGUGUAGCGGUGAAAUGCGCAGAUAUCAGGAUGAACACCAGUGGCGAAGGCGGUUCUCUGGGCAUUACCUGACGCUGAGGAGCGAAAGUGUGGGGAGCGAACAGG